GAUGAACGCUGGCGGCGUGCUUAACACAUGCAAGUCGAACGGAAAGGCUCCUGCUUGCAGGGGUACUCGAGUGGCGAACGGGUGAGUAACACGUGGGUGAUCUGCUCUGCAUUUCGGGAUAAGCCUGGGAAACUGGGCCUACUACCGGACAGGACGAUGGUUUGGAUGCCAUUGUGGAAAGCUUUUUUGGUGUGGGAUGAGCGUGCGGCCUAUCAGCUUGUUGGUGGGGUAAUGGUCUACCACGGCGUCGACGGGUAGCCGGCCUGAGAGGGUGUACGGCCACAUGAGGACUAAGAUACGGACCAGACGCCUACGGGAGACAGAAGUGGGGAACAUUGCACAAUGAGCGCGAGCCGGAUGCGACGACGCCGCGUGGGGAAUGCCGUCCUUCUGGUUAUGAACUCCUGUCGCUAGAGACGAAGCGCAAGUGACGGUACCUAAAGAAGAAGCACCGGCUAACUACGUG
rnacentral:rRNA from 1 species